UUGUGACCACAUCACGUUGAAACAUUGGUUCCCGAACGAUCACCGAAGUUAAGCAAAGUCGAGCCUGAUUUGUACCUAUAUAGGUGACGACUUUGGAAUACCAGGAGCUGUAUG